ACAGACACAAAUCCAAAAUAUAAAGAGAAGUGUCUCAACUCAAUAUAGUGUGUAGCAAGUGAAAAGAGCAUAAACUGCCUAAAUAGGAGUCAGUUAUUUUGAGUUCAUUGUCUAUGCAUAAUGUAUUGAAACUUCAGAUCAUGCUAUGUAGUAUCAAAAAUUACCAUGCAAAGGGAGAUCACCACGGUGACAGAAGCUUGGUCUUGUCUCAGAGAGGUAUAAAUAGGGUUAGAAUGUUUUUAUUUAAAGCUGUUUAAGUUUGUUUAGCUUAAACAAUGUCAGUCAAUGAGAGAGCUAUUAGACUGUAUUAAGGCAUAUUAUCUACUUGUUUAGAACAUUGUAUAUAGUGUACAUAUUUAUUCAGGCUCACAGAGUUGGCAAGGCCCACAACUAGAAUUUAAGCAUGUGCAUUUUGGCUCCAGAGUUGAUUCCUUGAACAAACCAACUACAUUUUAUCCUCUCAUGAUGACAUAUCACAUGUGUACAUGUGCAGAAAAAUUACAUGUUCUACAAUUCCCCCAAUUAAAAACAUCAUGUCUUAAAUAUAGCUCUGUAGGCUUCACCACUCUACAGUAUUCAGCUUUAUUCUUAAAGGAAUGCUCUUAGAGUUGUAUCUAUGUGAAACACUUGAGGUAGCAAAUAGAAAGCUACAGAUCUCAAGUAAAGAGAAAGUUAGAGACAUAAGCUUGCUUAACCAAGGAUAGUUCUUGCAUCAGGGAACGAACUGAUAUUGAUGUGGCACAGCAUCUACUGCUUCCUGGAUGGAUGUCAGAAUCCUAGUAGGAAGAAAUUUCCACUGAUAAAAACAAAGGGACAUUUUCAAAAUUAAAAGAAUAAAAAUUAACAUGGAGAAUUCAAAGCAACAGCACUACUUGGCAAUAAAGAAUGACAAAAAGGUGAAGCUUGAAAUGAAUCCUUGCCAAGCUCCAGCACUGUCCGAACUCCACAUUCCCCAUGUUCCUUCAGGGAUAGAGAAGUAUGUGUAGCAGCCAGGCAGAACAGAGAAUCAGUGAUCAGACACAGUUCUCAAGUCUAUGAACAGCAGGAAAAUUACUACUGUCUCUGUGUGAUAUUGGCUGAAGGAGGAAAGGACUAGGAGGGCUUGGCAGCUGGCAUGACUGCAAGUAAAUAUAUUCCUUUCUUGCCAGACUAGUACUUGAAUACUCCUGAGUCACCCACAGGAAGGUGGCAAAUGGUUGAGUUAGAAAGACUUUAUAGAGAAGUUAAACUUCAUUUUUUUUUAACGAUAGGAAAUUAUAGUUACUUCUAUUUUUCUCCUAAAGAAAGUUUAGCCUCAAAAUAUUUGCUCACAACCACUCUGUAAGGCUAAGGUCAGUGGGUGGGGAACAAAAAGAAAGAGGUGGAAGGGGAGGGAAACUAGAGAGGAAAGGAGAAGAGAGGAUAACAGAGAAGGGAAAGGAGAGGAAGAGAGACUCUAAGUCUGUAUAUUUAUAUCUGAGUUAGCUUUGCUUGAAGAGUUAAGUAAACUCACAGCAAUGCAAUGGGUCUGUUAUCACAGACCACAUGAAGCUUAAUAAGAAGGAAGACCAUGGUGGAACAACAAUAUGAACUAACUAGUACCCCCCGGAGCUCCUGUAUCUAGCUGCAUGUGUAUCAGAAGAUAGCCUAGUAGGCCAUCAGUGGAAAGAGAGGCCCAUUGGUCUUACAAACUUUAUAUGCCUCAUCACAGGGGAAUGCCAGGGCCAAGAAGUGGGAGUGGGUGAGGGAGGGUGUGGGGGACUUUUCUGAUAGCAUUGGAAAUGUAAAUGAAAUAAAUACCUAAUUAAAAAAUAAAUAAAUAAUAAAAAAGAAGGAAGACCAAAGUGUGGGUGCUUCGGUCCUUCUUAAGACAACAAAAUACUCACAGGAACAAAUAUAGAGAUAAAGUGUUGAGCAGAGACUGAAGGAAAGGCCACCCAGAGACAGCCCCACCUGGGGAUCCAUCCCAUAUACAGUCACCAAACCCAUGCACUAUUAUGGAUGCCAAGAAGUGCUUGCUGAAAGGAGCCUGAUAUGGCUGUCUCCUGAGAGGCCCUGCCAGAGCCUUACAAAAUAGAGAGGCAGAUGUUUGCAGCCAACCAUUGGACUAAGCGCACAGUCCCCAAUAGAGGAGUUAGAGAAAGGACUGAAGGAGUUGAAGGGGUUUGCAACCCCAUAGGAAUCAAUAUCAACUAACCAGAUGCCCCCGAACUCUCAGGGACUAAGCCAUC
rnacentral:lncRNA from 1 species